GCAUAUCAAUAAGCGGAGGAAAAAGAAACCAACAGGGAUUGCCCUUAGUAACGGCGAAGUGAAGCGGCAACAGCUCAAAUUUGAAAUCUGGCUCUUUUAGAGCCCGAGUUGUAAUUUGCAGAGGGCGCUUUGGUGUUGGCAGCGGUCCAAGUUCCUUGGAACAGGACGUCACAGAGGGUGAGAAUCCCGUACGUGGUCGCUAGCCUUCGCCGUGUAAAGCCCCUUCGACGAGUCGAGUUGUUUGGGAAUGCAGCUCUAAAUGGGAGGUAAAUUUCUUCUAAAGCUAAAUACUGGCCAGAGACCGAUAGCGCACAAGUAGAGUGAUCGAAAGAUGAAAAGCACUUUGGAAAGAGAGUCAAAUAGCACGUGAAAUUGUUGAAAGGGAAGCGCUUGCAGCCAGACUUGCCUGUAGUUGCUCAUCCGGGCUUUUGCCCGGUGCACUCUUCUAUAGGCAGGCCAGCAUCAGUUUGGGCGGUUGGAUAAAGGUCUCUGUCAUGUACCUCCUUUCGGGGAGGCCUUAUAGGGGAGACGACAUGCAACCAGCCUGGACUGAGGUCCGCGCAUUUGCUAGGAUGCUGGCGUAAUGGCUGUAAGCGGCCCGUCUUGAAACACGGACCAAGGAGUCUAACAUCUAUGCGAGUGUUUGGGUGUCAAGCCCGAACGCGUAAUGAAAGUGAACGGAGGUGGGAACCCUUACGGGUGCACCAUCGACCGAUCCUGAUGUCUUCGGAUGGAUUUGAGUAAGAGCAUGGCUGUUGGGACCCGAAAGAUGGUGAACUAUGCUUGAAUAGGGUGAAAGCCAGAGGAAACUCUGGUGGAGGCUCGCAGCGGUUCUGACGUGCAAAUCGAUCGUCAAAUUUGGGCAUAGGGGCGAAAGACUAAUCGAACUAUCUAGUAGCUGGUUCCUGCCGAAG
rnacentral:rRNA from 1 species